UUUCCCCUCGUUACAACUAAACCAGCUAUUCUCGUCGUCGAUUCUCAUUCCAUGGAGCUUGUUCCUAGGCCCACUACACCCCUUCUUCCUUCUCGUGCUUGUCGAUUCCAAGUGCAGAAAUGAAAAUUUAUUGAUUUAAACAGAUUGCUGAUUUUUCAUCGGUGUAAAUCAUUUCCAUAGUAGUAGUAGAGCGGUCGAAGUGUGUUUGAAGUGGAUUGGUCGAAGUGUGCAUCAUUGUUGAAGUGGAUUUCAAUUAAAACAUUUGCAAUGGUUUCUUUCCUCCUCUUCUUUUACUAUCCACUUGCAACAGUAGGUUCAUUUGAAACUGCUUGUUUAAAAAUGUUAUUUUAAUACAUACCAAGUGUUUGAUGAAA